GAAAGGCGGCUAGAUCUGCUGUUGUUUGCUGACCGGGCAGUCGUCGUUUUCACUGACUUUUCAGACAAGAGACAAUGUAACAUCUUGGCCGCGAACUUUUGGCGUCAGAGACCUCAAACUGAAAACGCAGGACCCCAAGGAACAGCACCUUUGACCACGUGAAGUAAUCCCACGCGCCACCCACAGGCGGAAAUGAGUGGAGCAGCGGGAAAUUCAAAGCUCUGCCUACCAUGAAUCGUUCCAGAUGACAAUCAUUUUCAUGCUUUCAAACAAAGGCUCCAGAAGGACCAUGAAGAAGAGAACAAAGCCAGAAGUUUAACAUCAAUAACAACAAGAAAAGAAGAAAAGAUAUUUAAGUAUUCUGCUCCCUUUUUUUUUGCUGUCUUAUCACAGCAUUUUAGUACUCUUGUUCACCUGAAAUUAGAAGGUUGUGGGUAGGUUGGGACAAGAAUUCAAAUGGCU